GAUGAACGCUGGCGGCGUGCUUAACACAUGCAAGUCGAACGGAAAGGCCCUGCUUUUGUGGUGUGCUCGAGUGGCGAACGGGUGAGUAACACGUGAGUAACCUGCCCUGUACUGUGGGAUAACUUCAGGAAACGGUGGCUAAUACCGGAUAGGAGCAGCUGCUGCAUGGUGAGGGUUGGAAAGGGGCGGCGGGUGGGGUAGGACAUGCGGCUGAGCAGCUUGUGGUUGGGGGAGUGGAUUCGGAAGGCUUUGACGGGGAGCCGGCCUGAGAGGGUGACCGGCCACAUUGGGACUGAGAUAGGGCCCAGACUCCUACGGGAGGCAGCAGUGGGGAAUAUUGCACAAUGGGCGGAAGCCUGAUGCAGCAACGCCGCGUGCGGGAUGACGGCCUUCGGGUUGUAACCCGCUUUCGCCUGUGACGAAGCGUGAGUGACGGUAAUGGGUAAAGAAGCACCGGCUAACUACGUG
rnacentral:rRNA from 1 species